rnacentral:tRNA from 2 species
GCCCCUAUAGCUCAGCGGCAGAGCUACGGACUUUUAAUCCGCAGGUCGUAGGUUCGAUCCCUACUGGGGGCA